GCUUCCACAACCGCUUUUCUGUAAACCAUAGGGAAAAGCAUGUUGAUUUUUGGGACGAUAAAGCUUUAUUUUCACCAGUAGAAAGUGCCACUUUCCUUUUCUUUCCUCCAACAAUGUCCUUUACAUUCCACACCCAUCGAAGUCGCCCCUCGCUGUACAUUGCUGGCUUGUGACAAUCCACGCGAGGUACACUUUGUCCUGGGAUUCUUGUUUGUACAUGGGAUGGAACAAAGUACAGGAGAAAUCCAAAUAUUGUCCUUUGGGCUUCGGCACCGGGUGGGGAUGCCAUCCCAGCUGCAACUGAUCUUCGUUAGGAGGCUCUCAUGCAGAGGCAGCCUCCAAUCACCUACUUCUUCCCUUCUUGUACAUCUUCCACUGAAGACAGGGCAGAGUAAUUUCAUGCAUAGACAUUCCCUCAGCCCACUUCCAUCUCAGUGGGCCCAUUUAUAGAAGACAGCCCUGUUGUUCUGAGGGCACUAACCAGAAUCAUUUCCAAAGAAUGGGUUAGAUGGACCUAACUGUGGAUUAUCGCUGACAACAGGCUGGGCUGCAGCAAUGAACUGCUGAACUGAGUGGCAGAGAGUGACCUGCUAGUCUGGCUUGAGUUGUCAGAAUCUGGGACAUCUGAAUAGAGAAAUGCUGUCUCUGGGUGCUGAAGAGAGAGGAGCAAGACCCAAAGUGCGGACUGUUUCAUUGAGAAAGAGGUACCAGCAGGGACUGGUGCUGCUGGGAAAAGGGGAAAGGGUAUGGGAUGAUUACGACAACCUUGGCUGCAGCUCUUUCUGUGAUCCCCGCAUUUGCACAUCAAACUCCUGCAGAACAGAGCUGGAGGCCUUGGCAGUCUCCUGCCUCACGCAAACGUCCAUUUGAGUCACACGGCAGGAAACCCACCCUGGUUCUCUGCAGAUUGAUCACCCCCUUUCCAAAGCCUGAGUUAUAGAAAGGGUGAAAGAAAUGGAAACAGCUGGUAGGAUGUGAGACUAAAAGGAAAUUAUCAGGAUGAGGGUGAUGAGAUAGGCUGGCCAGAUCAGAAGCCAAAGGAAAAUGAUUCCAGUGGUCUAAGAGCCACCCAUAUCAUUUGAGACACACAGACCACUUAUGAUGCAGUUCUGCCAGCACCAUUUCAGGUCCAUGGCAAAAAUGAAGCAGGGAAAAGAACAUGGAACUAGAUAGGAAAUUCUGAAUUUAUGAAUGUUCCCACCUAAAUCAUUGAGAGGAAGAAAAAACUGAGCACAUUUACAGCUCUGAAUUGUGCUGUUAAUGAAAGCUGAUCGUUUCAUUUAAAAGUUAGAGGACAUUUUUAUUUAUUUUGUGAAUGUCAUUUAUUUCAAAUCAUUACCAAUGACUUUUUAGACACACUCUCAGCAAGCCAGGGCAAGCCUGCUAACUCCGUACUUCUCUGUACUUCAAACUGAAAAGUGAAAGAAGAGUGAAGGAAAGGUGGAUGCUAAGGGCAGCCUUGUAUUCCCGCACCAUGUAAGCCAUCCCCCUUAUCUUUGCCAUUUCUCUCCUGCCAACAGCUCCAUCGCCUCUCCUUGUUCAAAUGUACAUGUGGGUUUUGUGGAAGUACAGCAUGGCUGCUGCUGCCUCCAUCUCUGCACUUCUGAAGGGGGCUUUUAAAGCAACCAGAUUAAAGCAGCAUUAAAAGCCAUGCUACAAAUCCUACCAUAUUAAGCAAGACAAUCCUCAGAGUUGUUUUGGGCUCGCAGAACAGAAGGGGUGCCUUUGAGUUGAACUACAUGUUUCAACAGUAUGUUGUUCUGAAAAGUGUUGUAUAUGUGCCGACAUCCGCUGCUGGCAUGUGUACAGACUGAAGCUUGCCAGCUCCUCCUGAUCUGGAAAGAGGAGACAUGCAGUGUUAAGUACAUGUGUCAUCACUACUCAUUCCCCCCAACCCCCAGUUUUAUCAUUUGGUUGUGCAAUGUAUUUGAGCCAAGUCAGCCCAUUUAGCUCAGAUGAACUCAGGCCAAAUAACUGUACCGAGGCUGACUUCAGGGAGUUGAGAGGAGUUGCUGGAGUAGCUCUUCCACAAGUAAAUGCAAACGCUUUUGUGCUCCUUGCUUUGCUCCUCAGACAAAGGGCUUUUGGUAGGGCUGCACUGGAGGGAGAGCCCCUAAGAAAACAAAAUCACCACGCAGCUGAUUACAGCAUGCCACUUCUGACUCUCAUCCUGGUAAAUCUGACAGGCAAAACAGGGCCAGGCUUCAGCAGGGCUUACAGAGGGGAUUCCAAGGAAACCCAUGAUGCAAGGGAUGGUAGGGUGACUCACGAGGUGACACGGGAUCUACUUAGUCACGACUGAGCUGGGGUUCUGGUGCAGCGUUAGCAUACCCAAACUCGACAGGCUUUUAGACUGACAGUAGAGGUCCUGGGAAAAUUUUGUGCCCAUAUAGAUCCCCACAUCUUGGUCAAAAUGCAGUUGUACUGAUUGUGUCUUCCCACUGUAACUGUUUUGGAUGGAGUAAAUGUAAGGCUAUGGCUGUGGUCCACCCCACAGUCCUGAAGAAUGACUGCAGCAGGUUGUGACUCUUCAGUAAUACAGAUGCUAACACCUGUGCAAUGAUGGCAUCAGCUGCAGAGUAUUUAGGCAGGAGGCUCAGUGCUUACUGUUCCCAGCUGUGGUGACUGCAUUGCUUGUGGCAUGUGAUCUUCCCCGUGCUAGAACAAGUUGAGUGCGCCAAUGGGGCUGCAGACACAUCCUGGAGUUUCUGGGCUGACUUGUGAAUCUGUUCACUGCCUGCUUGUGCUGUGUGUGGACCCUGGGACAAUGCAGGAGCAGCAGAUGACUCGUUUCUGAAGACUUUGGAGUGGUGGGAGGAGUGCAGCUACAUGAGGGUGCCAGGAGGCAGCUAAAAUGUGAAGAAACCCUCACUUGGCUUUUUCUGCUGAAAUGAGUGCAAUCCCCGAGGCAGCAGGGAUUCUGAUGGAUGCUGGUGGCUGUGCAUGCUGUCUGCUUGGAGCGAAGGGAGUGUUCAGCUCACCGGAGCAGCAGGAGAAAUGUGUAGGAAACAAAGCUGCACCAUCGUAGGUUCCUCCAUUGAUGUAAGCUCUGGCAAAGGGAGAACAAGCCAGUGGCGUGCAUUGCUCCAGAGCUUCACUCUUUUGGGGAGAGGAGAGCAUGUGGCAGCUCCUCCUGCUCUCUGGCUGCUGUUUGGAGUAAUGCUGCUACCCGUGCAGGACUGCUGCUGCUGUGGCAGUAUUGGUCAGAUGUCCUGGAGCUCAUGGAGCUGCCUGAAGCUGGCCAUGCAGAGACCCUGAGGAAAGGCUGCCUUAAAAGUGAAUGUGUUCGACUUUACUGCGUCGCAUCCCUCACACUGUAUUCAGGUGUAAAUAGAGCAUUAGAUCCUGAAGCUGGUAAAGCAUUAAUGGGUCACUCAGUGUCCCCACUUCACAAAGACUGAGCCCUUUACCAAAUAUUUAUUAGGGUUUUAUCCUAAUAAAUAUUUGUCUUUGAAUUCUCCAGUGAAGGAGUUUCUGCAUAUGACCCUUUUGCCCCAAACUAUUUUAUAUUCUAAUGUUCUUUCCUAAUUUUCUUUUCCUGUAUUGAGCCUAAGUUUCAUUCAGCUGCUUCUACUCCCAGUUAUCCAUCCCAGCCUGACCACUUCCCUCUUCUCUGAGCUUAUACCUGUCAGAUAUCCCAAAUGAUUUCCCUUGGUCAAAGACACAUAUAUGCAAUUCCUUAAUCUCCCCUCUGCCAUUCAUUCCACCCCAGCUCUUUGUUAUUUUGCUAGCUCUGCUCUGAACCCUUUCCCAUUUAUCAAUAUCAUUUUCUGACGAUGCCUCAGCUGCACACGGUGCCCUGCUGCCCAUGGACACAGCCCAGGAGCUGUGCUUUGUGCACAGACCCUGCUGAGCCCAUUAUCUCAGUUCUGCCCUGCAAACAGGAGCCCAGCACGUCACAUACUGCUUGCUGGUAAAUACUGGCCCAGAAUAAAGCAUUGAUGGCUGAAGACAGAUAGUUUUUCCUAAGCACUUAAAAAUCCUUUUCUGAAAGGCUGAAAGCUGUGCUUGCACAGCCCUGCUGCAGCGGCAGCAGUUGCUGAGGCACAGCUCGAAGUCAUGCAGCUUGCUUUUUAAAUGACUGUUUAUUUUCCAUCGAUAUUGUGUGUUGAGUGCAGAACACGGUCGGUGCUUUCACUGUGCAUGUCUCAUACGUGCUGGGAUUCUUGCUGUUGUCUUAACAAUAAGGAAAUGCAGUGUGUGUCUGAUGGGGUGUGGUGGCUGUGCCUGAGUUGUUGUUUUAAGGGCUUUUAAGCUCAUCCGGAAAAUAAAUGGUUAGAGAGUCUGCAAGCAAAGUUUUUGGGUAAAAACUUUUUGAGACUUGACUUUGGCUUAGUCUCUGAUAUAACGUUUGGGUUUCUUUCUGUAAUGGGCAAGGAAGGCUGGAGAAAUGUAUGUUUAGGAGUCUUUUUAUAGUAAACGAAAUAUGUUAAUACAUAGAACAGAAAACAACUUUUAAAACCACUAAGUGCUAGCAGUAAAGCACAAUGACCACCAAGCAUGUCACUGCUGAAAAUAGACCACCACCAGAGAAUUACGUUUCAAAACGCUUUGCCGACAGAGCUCGUUUCUAAGAAGUUAAUCUUUACAAGAACAAAAGAAAAGGCUUGAACAAUAAGUCUGCAUGAAAUAAUUGUGUAAGUAAAUAUCAAGAGAGCUAAGGGAGCAAAACUCGAAUGAACCUCGUGCACGCAGCAGCCCUUUGAGAACAAUGAGGCAGAUGGUGACUGAGGUGUGUGGGCAGACCCUCCUUUGGGUAAAUGAAUGCCAGAAUGUGAGGAUGUGGCCCAGGGUUUGGGAUUACAAUGGCUUGCUCCUGGCUGGAGUUCUGCUGAUUGUGUACCUUUGCCUUGCCCUGUUUUGAACAGAAUAAGGGAAGGAUGUAUGUGGAAGGCAGAGACUUUGCUUCACCUAAAUGCUGUCCUGUGCCUGCUUAGCAUUUGUUACUCAUUGUUUUGCUGCUUAAUGUCUUCAUUUCCUUCAGUGUUUGUAUAAGAGCUUAUCUCAGCUGUGAUCUUCCCUCUACUGACAUGGAAUGGAUGUCAUGUGGGAGGGAGGGAUUCUGUCUCCCUUCUUGGACAAAACCUGAGCAUUCUUCUCAACAAAGCUCAGCUCUGGAGGUGGUAGGAUGGGGUAAAGGAUGAUCAGAUGGGGGCAGGAUUGGAAGUAAGCUGAUGUGGCACUGGCAGGUGUCUUAGAUCUUUUUGGUUUGUUUGUUUUGUUAGAAAAAAAUAAAGAAGAAAUCAUGAGA